GCCAAACAGCUAGUUCUCACACAAAACCAAUAAAACAAUAUUUGUAACUCUCUAAACCCCCAACUACCUAUAAAUAAAUCAUUUUUCCGCCUAAGUAUGGGUGACAGAAAAGGCACUUUAAAACAAUAGACACAGUACCGCAAGGGAAAGCUGAAAAAGAAGUGAAAUAACUCAUACAAGCAUAAAAAAGCAGAGGCAACACCUCGUACCUUUUGCAUCAUGAUUUAGCCAGAAAACACCUAGCAAAGAGAACCUUUAGUUAAAUACCCCGAAACCAAGUGAGCUACCCCGAGACAGCUUAUAAAGAGCCAACCCAUCUCUGUAGCAAAAGAGUGGGAGGAUCUCCGGGUAGAGGUGAUAUACCUAUCGAACUUGGUGAUAGCUGGUUGCUUAAAAAAUGAAUACUAGUUCAGCCUCGUCCUCCUCACCCCAUUUCACAACAUUACUAGGGGAAAGAGAAAUACUACGAGAGUUAGUCAAAGGGGGUACAGCCCCUUUGAAUCAGGACACAACCCGACCAGGAGGUUAAGACUCACACUAAAUAAGAUGUACCGCUUUAGUGGGCCUAAAAGCAGCCACCUAAAAAGAAAGCGUUAAAGCUCAUACAAAACAUAAAUCUAUUAUUCUGAUAAAAAUUACCAAAACCCCUUAUUUUAUUAAGCCACCCCAUGCCCACAUGAGAGCGACACUGCUAAAAUGAGUAAUAAGAAGGAACUCCUUCUCCACACCUACGUGUAAGUUAGACCGGACCACCCACUAAUAAUUAACGACCCCAACCAAAGAGGGAAAUAUGGUAACACAUCAAAAUCAAGAAAACCCCACAUAAACUAUCGUUAACCCUACACUGGAAGGAUGCAGGAAAGAUUAAAAAAAAGGAAAGGAACUCGGCAAACACAAGCCUCGCCUGUUUACCAAAAACAUCGCCUCUUGCAAAUAAUAUAUAAGAGGUCCUACCUGCCCAGUGACUAAGUUAAACGGCCGCGGUAUUUUGACCGUGCAAAGGUAGCGCAAUCACUUGUUUUUUAAAUAAAGACCUGUAUGAAUGGUAAAACGAGGGCUUAACUGUCUCCCCUUUUUGAUCAAUGAAAUUGAUUUACCCGUGCAGAAGCGGGUAUAAAUAUACAAGACGAGAAGACCCUAUGGAGCUUAAGACAAACAAUUAACUGUGUAAAAACAAAAAACAGAAACAAAACAAAACAGAAACUAAUUAGUGUCUUCGGUUGGGGCGACCAUGGGGAAAAAUAAAUCCCCCAUAUGGAAUACAAAAAUUUUUAAACCACGAAAUACACCUCUAAGCCACAGAACUUCUGACCAAAUGAUCCGGCAAAGCCGACUCAUGAACCAAGUUACCCUAGGGAUAACAGCGCAAUCCUCUCCAAGAGUCCAUAUCGACAAGAGGGUUUACGACCUCGAUGUUGGAUCAGGACAUCCUAAUGGUGCAGCCGCUAUUAAGGGUUCGUUUGUUCAACGAUUAAAGUCCUACGUGAUCUGAGUUCAGACCGGAGUAAUCCAUAUGAGAUUUUAUUUGAAAAAGGAGUAAUCCAGGUCAGUUUCUAUCUGUAAAACCACUUCUCCUAGUACGAAAGGACCGGAGACGUAAGGCCCCUGCUAAAGGCAUAGCCUUAUUUCUACUUAGUAAAGCCAACUCAACUAAUUUAAGAAAAGUAUAAAAAACCAAUAGAUAAUUGAAA
rnacentral:rRNA from 1 species